UUAAGCGACUAAGCGUACACGGUGGAUGCCCUGGCAGUCAGAGGCGAUGAAGGACGUGCUAAUCUGCGAUAAGCGUCGGUAAGGUGAUAUGAACCGUUAUAGCCGGCGAUUUCCGAAUGGGGAAACCCAGUGCAAUUCGUUGCACUAUCAUUACGUGAAUACAUAGCGUAAUGAAGCGAACCGGGGGAACUGAAACAUCUAAGUACCCCGAGGAAAAGAAAUCAACCGAGAUUCCCCCAGUAGCGGCGAGCGAACGGGGAGCAGCCCAGAGUCUGAAUCAGCUUGUGUGUUAGUGGAACGGUCUGGAAAGUCCGACGGUACAGGGUGAUAGUCCCGUACACCAAAACACACAGGUUGUGAACUCGAAGAGUAGGGCGGGACACGUGGUAUCCUGUCUGAAUAUGGGGGGACCAUCCUCCAAGGCUAAAUACUCCUGACUGACCGAUAGUGAACCAGUACCGUGAGGGAAAGGCGAAAAGAACCCCGGCGAGGGAGUGAAAAAGAACCUGAAACCGUGUACGUACAAGCAGUGGGAGCCUCUUUAUGGGGUGACUGCGUACCUUUUGUAUAAUGGGUCAGCGACUUAUAUUCUGUAGCAAGGUUAACCGAAUAGGGGAGCCGAAGGGAAACCGAGUCUUAACUGGGCGUUAAGUUGCAGGGUAUAGACCCGAAACCCGGUGAUCUAGCCAUGGCAGGUUGAAGGUUUGGUAACACUAACUGGAGGACCGAACCGACUAAUGUUGAAAAUUAGCGGAUGACUUGUGGCUGGGGUGAAGGCCAAUCAACCGGGAGAUAGCUGGUUCUCCCCGAAAGCUAUUUAGGUAGCGCCUCGUGAACUCAUCUUCGGGGGUAGAGCACUGUUCGGCUAGGGGUCAUCCCGACUUACCAACCCGAUGGCAAACUGCGAAUACCGAAGAAUGUUAUCACGGGAGAACACGGCGGGUGCUAACGUCCGUCGUGAAGAGGGAAACAACCCAGACCGCCAGCUAAGGUCCCAAAGUCAUGGUUAAGUGGGAAACGAUGUGGGAAGGCACAGACAGCCAGGAUGUUGGCUUAGAAGCAGCCAUCAUUUAAAGAAAGCGUAAUAGCUCACUGGUCGAGUCGGCCUGCGCGGAAGAUGUAACGGGGCUAAACCAUGCACCGAAGCUGCGGCAGACACUUACGUGUUGUUGGGUAGGGGAGCGUUCUGUAAGCCGUUGAAGGUGUGCUGUGAGGCAUGCUGGAGGUAUCAGAAGUGCGAAUGCUGACAUAAGUAACGAUAAUGCGGGUGAAAACCCGCACGCCGGAAGACCAAGGGUUCCUGUCCAACGUUAAUCGGGGCAGGGUGAGUCGACCCCUAAGGCGAGGCCGAAAGGCGUAGUCGAUGGGAAACAGGUUAAUAUUCCUGUACUUGGUGUUACUGCGAAGGGGGACGGAGAAGGCUAUGUUGGCCGGGCGACGUUGUCCCGGUUUAAGCGUGUAGGUGUGUGUUCCAGGUAAAUCCGGAAUGCUUUAACACUGAGGCGUGAUGACGAGGCACCACGGUGCUGAAGUGACAAAUGCCCUGCUUCCAGGAAAAGCCUCUAAGCAUCAGGUAACACGAAAUCGUACCCCAAACCGACACAGGUGGUCAGGUAGAGAAUACCAAGGCGCUUGAGAGAACUCGGGUGAAGGAACUAGGCAAAAUGGUGCCGUAACUUCGGGAGAAGGCACGCUGAUAUGUAGGUGAAGUGAUUUACUCAUGGAGCUGAAAUCAGUCGAAGAUACCAGCUGGCUGCAACUGUUUAUUAAAAACACAGCACUGUGCAACGAAAGUGGACGUAUACGGUGUGACGCCUGCCCGGUGCCGGAAGGUUAAUUGAUGGGUUUCCGUAAGGAGAAGCUCUUGAUCGAAGCCCCGGUAAACGGCGGCCGUAACUAUAACGGUCCUAAGGUAGCGAAAUUCCUUGUCGGGUAAGUUCCGACCUGCACGAAUGGCGUAAUGAUGGCCAGGCUGUCUCACCCGAGACUCAGUGAAAUUGAACUCGCUGUGAAGAUGCAGUGUACCGCGGCAAGACGGAAAGACCCGUGAACCUUUA
rnacentral:rRNA from 1 species